AACUGGAAAGGCACUGGGGAGAACUGGGAGGGAACUGGGAUGGACUGGGAUGAACUGGGAAGGAACUGGGAUGAACUGGGAAGGACUGGGAUGGACUGGGAUGAACUGGGAUGGACUGGGAUGGACUGGGAUGAACUAGGAUGGACUGGGAUGAACUGGGAUGGACUGGGAUGAACUGGGAAGGACUGGGAUGAACUGGGAAGGACUGGGAUGGACUGGGAAGGAUUUUUGAGACACCCCAAGGAAUUUCUGGGCCCCCCAGAUGAGUUUUUAACCCAUUUUAACCCCCCCAAGUGGGUUUUUAGGGGUCCCAAAUUCAUUUUUGGGGUUCCCAGGUGUGUUUUCUGCCCCCCAGGUGUGUUUUUGGGGUCCCCAGGUGUGUUUUUGGGGUCCCCAGGUGUGUUUUUGGGGUCCCCAGGUGUGUUUUCUGCCCCCCAGGUGUGUUUUUGGGGCUCACCUCUCGGCCUCCUGCCCCAGCAGUGCCUUCUCCAGGUGUUUUUAUCUCCCCCAGGUGAGUUUUGGGGUCCCCAGGUGUGUUUUUGGGGUCCCCAAGUUCAUUUUUGGGGUUCCCAGGUGUGUUUUUUCCCCCCCAGGUGUGUUUUUAGGGGUCCCAAGUUCAUUUUUGGGGUCCCCAGGUGUGUUUUCUGCCCCCCAGGUGUGUUUUUGGGGUCCCCAGGUGUGUUUUUGGGGUCCCCAGGUGUGUUUUCUGCCCCCCAGGUGUGUUUUUGGGGCUCACCUCUCGGCCUCCUGCCCCAGCAGUGCCUUCCCCAGGUGAGUUUUGGGGUUCCCAGGUGAGUUUUAACCCCUUUUUUUCCCCCCCAGGUGGGUUUUUGGGGUCCCCAGGUGAGUUUUUACCCCGUUUUUUCCCCCCCAGGUGGGUUUUUAGGGGUCCCAGGUGUGUUUUUAGGGGUCCCAAGUUCAUUUUUGGGGUCCCCAGGUGUGUUUUCUGCCCCCCAGGUGUGUUUUUGGGGCUCACCUCUCGGCCUCCUGCCCCAGCAGUGCCUUCCCCAGGUGUUUUUAUCUCCCCCAGGUGAGAUUUUAACCCAUUUUAACCCCCCCAGGUUCAUUUUUGGGGUUCCCAGGUGUGUUUUUUCCCCCCCAGGUGGGUUUUUAGGGGUCCCAAGUUCAUUUUUGGGGUCCCCAGGUGUGUUUUCUGCCCCCCAGGUGUGUUUUUGG